CGCGGCUCGGCCGGGCGGGGAUCGGCUCUUUUGCGGUGGGACUGAAGCUGCAAAGUUCAACCCAAACGUGUUGCUUCCUGAUGGCUGCUGCUGUCCAACUUCACCUGCUCAAGUGAUUUGCCCAGUAGGGCUCUUGCUGCUGGCCCUCUGCCUGGCAGCCUCCAUAGCUCGGUGACUGCAGCGAGGGGGCUUCCUUUCGUGCCUCCACCCGUCUAGGAAAAAAAGGUGGGGGAGAGACAGCAGACAGACACAUAUCCAGAAAAACUGAAAACUAAAGAAAGGAAAGGACAGAAUACCCUCUGGAUUUUCUUCCCAUGUGCAGAGUAUACUGACUGAAGCAUUCAAUCAACUCUGAGGAUCAAUGUAUUUGUAAAUGUUUCAUUUUAAGGGUCUGCCAAAGGUGGGAAAGUCUCUCAAAAGG